rnacentral:rRNA from 1 species
AUUGAACGCUGGCGGCAGGCCUAACACAUGCAAGUCGAACGAGUGGCGGACGGGUGAGUAAUGUCUGGGAAACUGCCUGAUGGAGGGGGAUAACUUAUGGAAACGGUAGCUAAUAACGCAUACCAUCGGAUGAGCCCAGAUGGGAUUAGCUAGUAGGUGGGGUAAAGGCUCACCUAGGCGACGCUCCCUAGCUGGUAUGAGAGGAUGACCAGCCACACUGGAACGGAGACACGGUCCAGACUCCUACGGGAGGCAGCAGUGGGGAAUAUUGCACAAUGGGCGCAAGCCUGAUGCAGCCAUGCCGCGUGUAUGAAGAAGGCCUUCGGGUUGUAAAGUACUUUCAGCGGGGAGGCGUUACCCGCAGAAGAAGCACCGGCUAACUCCGUGCCAGCCGCCGCGGUAAUUC